AGCUUCUUCACGGCAGAUUGUUUCCAUUUCACUGUGAAGGGACAUGAGGAACUGGCAAAGGGGCUGUGGAACAACAUGUUCCAGCCAGAGGGAGGGAAAGAAAUGAUACACACAUUUGCAGAGCCGGUACAACUCAUCUGCCCACCAAAGGGGCAUCCUUACAUCUACACCAGACCCUGAGAAUCAUCUGCACCGGCACUGAAACAUUUCUCCAUGAUGCUGACAUCUCUGCUUUCUCUGUUUGUCCUCACUGCCUGGGUUGGUUUAAGCCCUGC